UUAAGUUAAUAAGGGCGCACGGUGGAUGCCUUGGCACUAGGAGCCGACGAAGGACGUGACAAACGACGAUAUGCCUUGGGUAGCUGUAAGUAAGCGAUGAUCCAGGGAUUUCCGAAUGGGGGAACCCAACAGGUAGUACCUGUUACCCACAUCUGUUAAGGAUGUGAGGAGGAAGACGCAGUGAACUGAAACAUCUAAGUAGCUGCAGGAAGAGAAAGCAAAAGCGAUUGCCUUAGUAGCGGCGAGCGAAACGGCAGGAGGGCAAACCGAAGAGUUUACUCUUCGGGGUUGUAGGACUGCAAUGUGGACUCAAAGAUUAUAGAAGAAUGAUUUGGGAAGAUCAGCCAAAGAGAGUAAUAGCCUCGUAUUUAAAAUAGUCUUUGUACCUAGCAGUAUCCUGAGUACGGCGGGACACGUGAAAUCCCGUCGGAAUCUGGGAGGACCAUCUCCCAACCCUAAAUACUCCCUAGUGACCGAUAGUGAACCAGUACCGUGAGGGAAAGGUGAAAAGCACCCCGGGAGGGGAGUGAAAUAGAACCUGAAACCGUGUGCCUACAACAAGUUCGAGCCCGUUAAUGGGUGAGAGCGUGCCUUUUGUAGAAUGAACCGGCGAGUUACGUUAUGAUGCGAGGUUAAGUUGAAGAGACGGAGCCGUAGGGAAACCGAGUCUGAAUAGGGCGCCUUAGUAUCAUGACGUAGACCCGAAACCAUGUGACCUACCCAUGAGCAGGUUGAAGGUGCGGUAAGACGCACUGGAGGACCGAACCAGGGCACGUUGAAAAGUGCUUGGAUGACUUGUGGGUAGCGGAGAAAUUCCAAACGAACUUGGAGAUAGCUGGUUCUCUCCGAAAUAGCUUUAGGGCUAGCGUCGACAUUAGAGAUUCUUGGAGGUAGAGCACUGUUUGGGUGAGGGGUCCAUCCCGGAUUACCAAUCUCAGAUAAACUCCGAAUGCCAAUGAAUUAUGGUCGGCAGUCAGACUGCGAGUGCUAAGAUCCGUAGUCGAAAGGGAAACAGCCCAGACCACCAGCUAAGGUCCCAAAAUAAUUGUUAAGUGGAAAAGGAUGUGGGGUUGCACAGACAACUAGGAUGUUAGCUUAGAAGCAGCUAUUCAUUCAAAGAGUGCGUAAUAGCUCACUAGUCGAGUGACCCUGCGCCGAAAAUGUACCGGGGCUAAAACAAUUUACCGAAGCUGUGGAUACCUUUAUAGGUAUGGUAGGAGAGCGUUCUAUGUGUGAUGAAGGUAUACCGUGAGGAGUGCUGGAACGCAUAGAAGUGAGAAUGCCGGUAUGAGUAGCGAAAGACAGGUGAGAAUCCUGUCCACCGUAAGACUAAGGUUUCCAGGGGAAGGCUCGUCCGCCCUGGGUUAGUCGGGACCUAAGGAGAGACCGAAAGGUGUAUCCGAUGGACAACAGGUUGAUAUUCCUGUACUAGAGUAUGUAGUGAUGGAGGGACGCAGUAGGCUAACUAAAGCAGACGAUUGGAAGAGUCUGUCUAAGCAGUGAGGUGUGAAUUGAGUCAAAUGCUUAAUUCUAUAACAUUGAGCUGUGAUGGGGAGCGAAGUUUAGUAGCGAAGUUAGUGACGUCACACUGCCAAGAAAAGCUUCUAGCGUUUAAACAUACUCUACCCGUACCGCAAACCGACACAGGUAGUCGAGGCGAGUAGCCUCAGGUGAGCGAGAGAACUCUCGUUAAGGAACUCGGCAAAAUGACCCCGUAACUUCGGGAGAAGGGGUGCUGACUUAAAGUCAGCCGCAGUGAAUAGGCCCAAGCAACUGUUUAUCAAAAACACAGCUCUCUGCUAAAUCGUAAGAUGAUGUAUAGGGGGUGACGCCUGCCCGGUGCUGGAAGGUUAAGAGGAGUGCUUAGCGUAAGCGAAGGUAUGAAUUGAAGCCCCAGUAAACGGCGGCCGUAACUAUAACGGUCCUAAGGUAGCGAAAUUCCUUGUCGGGUAAGUUCCGACCCGCACGAAAGGCGUAAUGAUUUGGGCACUGUCUCAACGAGAGACUCGGUGAAAUUUUAGUACCUGUGAAGAUGCAGGUUACCCGCGACAGGACGGAAAGACCCCAUGGAGCUUUACUGCAGUUUGAUAUUGAGUGUCUGUACCACAUGUACAGGAUAGGUAGGAGUCUAAGAGAUCGGGACGCCAGUUUCGAAGGAGACGCUGUUGGGAUACUACCCUUGUGUUAUGGCCACUCUAACCCAGAUAGGUGAUCCCUAUCGGAGACAGUGUCUGACGGGCAGUUUGACUGGGGCGGUCGCCUCCUAAAAGGUAACGGAGGCGCCCAAAGGUUCCCUCAGAAUGGUUGGAAAUCAUUCGCAGAGUGUAAAGGUAUAAGGGAGCUUGACUGCGAGAGCUACAACUCGAGCAGGGACGAAAGUCGGGCUUAGUGAUCCGGUGGUUCCGUAUGGAAGGGCCAUCGCUCAACGGAUAAAAGCUACCC
rnacentral:rRNA from 1 species